CAACGUUGGCCCGACUUUGGAU
rnacentral:miRNA from 1 species